rnacentral:lncRNA from 1 species
UAUUGUAUCACCAAUCUGAAAUCUCUUUGCGUUAGCCCAGGUGGAAUAGGCAACAGAGCCAGCUGGAGGAAUAGUCCAGCCUAAAUCAUCCCCAACUUUGUAGGUUUCAGCUGUGGCACCCUUCCACAAGGCCACUACAACAAGAAGCAAACAACCGAUCAAUCCCUUCUGACUCACCAUUUACCCUAAUCUCUUCUUUCUCUUUGGAAGUGUUUUGGUGUAUGAAUCAGUUAUUAAUGUCAACUACUUAUACACAAACAGAAUAAUGAGCAAAAGAUAGAGUUCGCAGCGGCUGCCUUUAGGGAGGGAGUUCCUAUUGUUUUCAAAUAAGGCGGCUGAAGCUAACCUUAACUGAUCAGAGGUUUGACCAUAAUGUGUAUCGACCUUUUUUCUUUUGAGAAUAAAACGUGUUCUUCUGGAAGCAAAGAACAAAACAUAAGGAUUAUUUAUUGUACAACCUUAGGAUAUUAUUAAUGUGUACCAACGUUGACUAAAGUUACUGAAUAGAGAAAGUGAUGUACAUCAUAUGGCUGAAACUAGCUAUCAACAUUAUUGUCACGGACUUGAGAUCGGCAAAAUUUAUGAAUUCAAAAUGCGAGUAAAUUUAAAUAGAUAAAAAUCUAAAAUGAAAGAAAAAAUAUAGGGGAAUUUGGGGUUGGAGACAAAUAGUUAGACAAAAUUACUAACAAAAAAGAGAAUGAGAUUAUUGGAAAGGGUGUAAUUAGUUCAUAUGGUUAAGCAAUUGGGACCCAGUGGUAUAGCUAAAAGAAAGUUAAGAUUCUACCAUAAACUAAUUGACAAUACAUGGAGUAACACAACUUGUUUUUAAACCCAUGUAAGAUCCAUUCUCCAAUCAAUGUGAGAUUCAUUCUCAACGCACUUCAUCACAUGCGGCGAACCCUCUUAGAAAUAAAAACUAGAUUUGCCUGACUCCUUCAACCUAUUGGUCGAGUUACUUGUUUCCACUUGCCUUACAAGUCGAGCCUAGCAUGUGCAAUACAAAUUUGGUGACGUGGAGCGUGUGUGGUAUUUGGGCUUGACACAUGAGACAACAUGCUCUGAUAGCGUGAAGAAAGUUGAGGUUUCACCAUAAAAUCAAUUAACAAUAUUGAGAGUAGCUCAAUUUCUUAUAAACUCAUACAAUGUCCCUUCUCUCAUCAAGGAGGGAUUCAUUCUUAACAUUCUUCUUCAUGUAUGGCGGAUUUUCAAGCCAAACACGUGAACAACACAAGAAAUGUGAUGUACGUGGAUAACAUGUGACCAUUGGGUUUCACACGUGGGACAACCAACUCUGACAUUGUGAAGGAAGUUGAAGUUCCAUCAUAAAACCAACUGGAAAAACGAGGAAUAACCCAACUUACCUAUAAGCCCAUGCAAAUUCUCUUCUUCCAUCAAUGUCGGAUUCACUCUCAAUAUAGGCAUUGUAUGAGAUGUGCAAUGUUUGUUUAUUCAUUUAUAUGAAUUAAUGAGAAUAGAGACAAGAAAUUUGCAUACAUCAAUAAUGAUUUGAUACUUGACCACACGAUGUACCUAUUUAGCUUUGUCAAUUUACUGUGAUAAUGUGUAUGCCCUUAUUACUGUUGAUACUCACCCCUCCACAAAUAUAUUUUUUUGUAGGUUUACAAAUUAGACAUUGGUAAGAUAGACGGAUGAGAUCAAAUUAGAUAGGAGGGAAGGAAUUUUAUUUCUUCUUGCAGUUGUAAGAAAUUAUUGGUUAAUUUUACAAGAGGAAUUUACUUUCAUCCAAUUUUAGGUUCUUUUUGUUUAUUUAAAUUUGACUCACACUUCAAAUUCGAAAUUGCAUGACAGUUAUUGCUAGAACUAACCCUGUUGUUUCUAGUCCAAAAUUGCCCCCAUACCCAUCGUCGUCGCCAAACUCCGCUUUAGCUACGACUUCCGUUGCCACCACUUUAUUUGCAAUCGUGUCUACUAUCAUGCUAUGUUAUUAUUAAGGGUAAAUUACAUAGUAGCCCCUCAGGUUUUAAGUCUAUUACAAUCGCAUACAACAACUUCAAAACAUUUCACUUUCAUACCUCAACUACUAUUUUAUUUCAAUAUAGUACCUCCGUUACAUUUUCCAUCCAUUAAUCCGUUAAAUGUUGACGUGACUGCCACAUAUAUGCCACGUGGCUGCCAAAUGUUUGCCACGUGGCAAAUAAAAUAUUUUUUUUUUUGAAAAACCCAAAUUUCUCAACAAAAAAAAAAAUUGAAAAAAAAAUUUGAAACCUAUAUCCCUUAUCCCUCACCCACCCCCCAGCGAAGAAGAAAAAGGGAAAAAAAAGGGAUACCCAUAUCCCUCACCUCUCCAGUGACCUCCCCAGAAACCUGCAAGAAGAAGAAGAAGAAGAAGAAGAAGAGGGGAGAAAAAAAAGAAAAAAAAAAGUCAAAGAAGAAGAAGAAGGAAAAAAAAAAGGGAUACCCAUAUCCCUCACCCCCCCCCCCCCCAGCGACCUCCCCAGAAACCUGCAACAAGAAGAAGAAGAAGAAGAAGAAGGGAGAAAAAAGAGAAAAAAAAGAAAAGAAAAAACAAGCCCCAGUCUGUCCCACCCUAGCUACCCCUUUCUCCCAUCCCCCAUCACCCCUCCCAAAAAUCCCCCAUCACCCCUCCCAAAAAUCCCUCAUCACCCACCCCAAAAAAUUGCACCCGAGAUUAGGUGGAUCUACCACAAAACCAGUCCAAAUCAUCUCAAACUCAAAGUAUUUUCAAAACUCACCCACAUUGAAAAUUACGAGAUAUUGGCGCGCGCGUGGGGGGUGGGUGGUCGCUGGGGGGAGGAAGGGAUUUGGCGACGCGGUGGGGGGGGUGUGGUCGUCAGAAGGUAGCCCGGGGGAGGAAGGGAGAUGGGUCGUGGGUCGCGGCGAGGCGGGGGGGGGGGUGUGUGGUCGCCAAAAGGUAGCCUGGGUGAGGAAGGGAGGUGGGUUUGCGGCGGGGCGAGGGGGGGGGAGGGAAGGGUUCUGGGCUUUUCUUCUUCUUCUCUUAUUCUUCUUUUUCUUUUUCUUCUUCUUCUUCUUCUUCUUCUUCUCAUUCUUCUUCUUCUUCUUAUGUUUCAAUUUUUUUUUUAGGUUUCUGGGGGGUGGGUGAGGGAUGAGGGAUAUAGGUUUUUUGUUUUAUUUUUUUAAGAAAAUUCAGAUUUUAAAAAAAAUUAAAAAAUUAAUUUUAUUUGCCACGUGGCAGACAUUUGGUAGCCACGUGGCAUAUAUGUGGUAGCCACAUCAACAUUUAACGGAUUAAUGAAUGAAAAAUGUAACGGAGGUACUAUAUUGAAAUAAAAUAGUAGUUGAAGAAUGAAAGUGAAAUGUUUUGAAGUUGUUAUAUGCGAUUGUAAUAGACCUAAACCUGAGAGGCUACUAUGUAAUUUACCCUAUUAUUAAUCUAUGUGCUGUAAUAUGAUCUUACACAUAUCAAUUGGCAGCUAUUGUUGUGACUGGCUUUUGAGGCCCCCUAAUUUCAUUUUGGACCUUUUAGUUGAGGAUUGCUUGUGACUAAUUUUACUGGUUACUUGUAAUCUUUGAUGUACUGUCUGGAUUGGGGCUGUUUUGGCUCCAAUCCCUGAAGAUUACCAUCGCAACUUUUCAAAAGAAAAAAAAAUGCGUGACUAUAUGUGAUGGUCACACCAAAUAACUUAUCUUGAAUUUUAGUUGUACCUCCACAUGUGUAACAUGUAUCAUUUUAUAAAUUUUUACCAAUGUAUUAUUUGACUAUUUCUGAGAAGGUGAGUUUUUCUUAUCUGAUAGAUAUGAAUAAUAGGCGUUAAUCAUAACCAAUGACUAAAAUAUCAAUAAUAUCGCCGAUAUUAUCGUUUUUCAGAGAGACCGAUAUUUUCCCAUGUAUCCCCCUAAUUAUCGUCAAAAUAUCGUAAUAUUAUCGAUAAUAUCGCGAUAUAUUUGAUAUUAUCGAAACAUUCGUCGUGGCUCCAUCGUCGGAAAGGCAGUCGAGGCUGCGUCGUCGCAGCUGCCCAUAUCUCUCUCUGCAAUCCAAGCUCAGACCCAAGAUCUGCGCCUCCGUCGUCAGAAAUGAAAAAUCCAUUUUCUCACCCGCUCAGGUUUGAUGGAUCCUCCGCUUCGUACGACCUAAACAAGGCCUCCCAUUGCCUGAUGGUGCUCGCCGAGAGGUGAGAAAGGGAUGAGGAACGGUCCACAUGUGGUGAUGGUGCUCACCGGAGUGUGCGCCACUGUGGUGGAGGUCAUGGUGGGGUGUGGGUAUGGUGUGUCUGUGCUCCGGGAAGGAGAAUUGCAGAAAGAUAGUUAAAUUGAAGAGGAAAAGCAAAGAAAACCAUAUAAUAAAUGAAACCCAGAAGAUAAAAUGUUCAAUUUCUUACCUAAGAUUUCAAAGAAGAAGAGAGAGAGAAGGGCAAAAAAAAAAAUGCAUAAAACCCUAGAGAGAGUGCGUGUUUAGGAAAUUUCGCUGAGGAGUGAGGAGAUUGCUUUGCUAGAGGUUUCUGGAAAAAAGAGAAAGAGAGAGAGAGGGAGAAAGAUUUCUGGGAUUUUGUGUUUCAAGGAACUUCUCUCAAGGCAAGAUUUUUACGGGCUGAUAGGAAAUAAGAGAGAGAGAGAGAGAGAGAGAGAGAGAGAGAGAGAGACUUAUGGGAUACGAAAAAGAAAAUGUUAGAUAUAGGAUUGGGAGUCUCAAUUUGGGACCUUGGGGAGACUUAUGGGAUACGAAAAAGAAAAUGUCAAAUAUAGGAUUGGGAGUCUCAAUUUGGGACCUUGGGUUAUGUGAGGGAGGUGAGGUUGAGGGGUCACCAUGUGGUUAAAGAAAAUGUUAAACACUAAUUUCAUUCAAAAUAUCUUAUGUUUAUUAUUUUAUUUUUUUAAAUUAAAUUGUUUUAUUUGGGAAAUCCAUCUUUGAGACCUUGAAAGUCUCUUUGAAGAUCAGAUCAUGCUAUAUACUUGAAACUCUAACGUCACAUAUACUAUUUUUUUGUAAAAAAAAUAACAUAUUUUUCAUGUCUUUCUUAUAUUGUAAUAAUUUAUUAUAUAAAUGAUUAUGGUGUGUUUAAACUUAUUUCAUUAAUUACUACAUAUUUUCUACACUCACAAUGUUUGCCAGCUCGCUAUAUAAUCAACUUAAAUCAGUUAAAUCCAUCAUGUAAUGCAUUUCCUUCCAAUUUUUUGUGAUAAACUAAUAGAUAAUUGACUAAAUAAACAUCCUGCAAAGUUUCAAUAAAAAUUUCCAGGUUUUUCUUACAAUUUCCGUCGUUUUUAUUCAAUUUUUAUCGAUAUCGAUAAUAUCCCGAUAUUUUCAUCGAUAUUUCCGUAUUUUUGGACUACCGAUAUUUCCGAUAUCAUCGAUAUUUUAUACCUUGAUCAUAACGCAUGGCUGGUAUAGAUUUACUGAGUCACAAUUUAUCCUCGGAUUGACUAAAGUCUAAACUGAGCACGACCAAACGCAUCUCAGUGGACAGAGCUGGCCUUAAUUAAUUCAUCCAAAAAAUUCGAGAAAAAAGGCUUAAAUAGAUGAAUUUCCUGUGGUGAUAGGGUAGUCAGAAUAUAUAGGUCAUGUGGUAAAAAAUUAUUAGGAUUGAAACCCCUAUAGUGAAGUCCGUAAGGAUUGAAACUCACAUGCUAACACAAUGCUAUCUUCUGACUGCUCUAUCAUCAUGUGACUAAUAAUCCAAUUAGGCCAAAAAAAUAAAAUCCAAAACUUUCCGAAACAUUCGAGCAAAUAAAACAAAGUCCAAAACUUCCAACUCUGAAUGGAAAAUCUUUGCUUUAUUAGUAAUGAAAAGAAUCAAUCAAAAUGAUGAAAACACAUGAAUAUAAAUUAGGUAUUAAGUAGAAUUAAUUAAAGCUAUAGAAGAAGAUGGCCAUCGCAGUGAGAGAAGAAGAGGCGUUGCGGUCCCACCAGCGAUCAUCAUCUUCAGAAAUGUUGAUAGUCACCUUCUGCCCUACAUCACUGCGGUGAGUAUCUACCGUGCAGAUGAAGUAACGGGUCACGUUGGAAGUCAGUGUAAUACCGCAGGGCUGGAAUCAUAAAAAUCAAUAGGAUGUGAUAUCUAUACAUCCCUUUUUAUUUUUUUUCACAUCUUUUUAGUUUUCGGUCAUCAAAUCGGAUGAAUUGAAAAAAAUCAACAGACAGAAAUUAACAAGAGAUGUGUGAAUAGUAAAAAAAUGUGUGUGGAUAGCACAUCCAAAAACCAAGAGGGUUCGAAUUUGAGCAGUCAUCGUAAUUGUUAGGACUCUUUGGGACACCAUAGGUUACUAGUAUUUAUUAGGCCAUUGCUAAUGUUAAGCCCACUAGACUACUAAACCCUUACUUCACAGCCUCCGCCACCCACACCUCUCUCGAAUUCGAACCGACGAACCAUCUCCCAUCUUCACUCCGACGAAACAUCUCAACUCCCUCCACCACCCACAGCCACCCCUCUCUCUCUCUCACGAUUCUCUCUCGCGAUUCUCUCUGGAUCCAUCGCAGCAUCCCCCAAUCAGGUACAGUUUUGGAAUUACUUUAGGGUUUGCAAUUUAAUUUUAGGGUUAGGGUUUUCAAUUUAAUUUUAGGGUUAGGGUUUUCAAUUUAAUUUUAGGGUCAGGGUUUGCAAUUUAGUGGCGGCGCACCGAAAACAACAUUCCCUUUCUUUUUUUUAAAAUUUUUUUAUUUAUCUUUAUUUAUUUAUGCUUUUGGAACGGGAAACGAAAGCAUGGGAACACAAGCAUAUGAUUCUGAUUUCAGUCCUUCACUUUCCAUCUUGACUGAUUCACUCUGUCAAUGUUUCUCUGUUUCUGAUUUCAAUUUGGGAUUUUAAAUCAUAUGAUUCUUCUAUUGCUUUUGGGAUAUUAUAUGAUGAGACUGAUUCUUCGAUUUGGAUUUAGGUAUUUCAGUAUCAUCUGUUCGGCAACACAAGCACCCCCACUGCCAUUUUUUCAGUCUGUGAUCUGAACCACUGCUUUGCCAUAACGGUCGAUACUGCCAUGACAGCCCACGAAGCCUCCUCUUCGUCCUCCUCCACUUCCAAACUCUGGAAGUACGACGUAUUCUUGAGCUUCAGGGGUGAAGACACGCGCUAUGGCUUCACGAGCCACCUCCACGCGGCAUUAACAGCCAGAGGGUACCAGGUCUUUAUUGAUGAGGACGAUCUACCAAGAGGGGAAGAAAUAAAAGAGAAACUGUUCCGUGCAAUCGAAGAGUCGAGGAUCUCUGUCAUUAUCUUCUCAAAGAUGUAUGGGGAUUCGAGUUGGUGUCUUGACGAGCUGGUGAAGAUCAUGGAGUGUAGAGACAAACUGGGGCGACAUGUUUUACCAAUAUUCUAUCACGUUGAUCCUUCGCAUGUCAGGAAGCAGGACGGAGAUUUAGCCGAAGCAUUUCAGAAGCACGAAAAGGACAUCCGUGAAGAAAAAGAUGACAAGAAACGUGAAGCUAAACAAGAAAGGGUAAAUCAGUGGAGAGAGGCUCUCACAAAAGCUGCAAAUUUGUCUGGCCACCAUCUUCAAAGCGCUAAUAAUAGGUAAUUAUUCACCUGCUUUUCAAGAUUUAAGUUGUAAUACUCUAAUUAACAUAAUCAAUACACCUUAAUCUCUCACGCUGAUCCUUCACAUGUCAGGAAGAGGCGGAGAGAGGCUCAUACAGAAGCUACAAAUUUGUCUGACCACCAAACAACUGGCAACGGGUAAUCAUUUACCUGCUUAUUUCAAGAUUUGAAACAUUUUAGUGAAUGACUUGAUCUCUCAAUUAAUUAAAAUGCUUAAUUAUAUGAAGGGAAGAAGGAAAGAAAAUUGUUUAUGUACCGAUAUCUCCUACCGAGCCUUCAUUGAGUCCCACUAAUGCUAACGAAUUCAAUUUUCAGGCGCGAAGCAGAGUUCAUUAAAAAAAUUAUUAACGAGAAUAUUUGUGAAUGGCUCACUAGCACUAACGAAUUACGUGUGGCCAAGCACAUAGUUGGAAUCGAUUCUCGCGUUCAAGAUAUUAUCACUUAUCUUUCAAGUGGUGGAUCAAAUGAUGUUCUCAUGGUUGGAAUUUGGGGGAUGGGUGGAUUGGUCAAAACAACAGUUGCCAAAGCCAUUUAUAACCAAAUUCAUCCUAAGUUUGAAUUCAAAAGUUUCCUUGCCGGCAUUCGCGAUGCUACAAGUAAACAUGAUCUGGUUGAUUUGCAAAAAAACUUAUUUUUGACAUCUUGAAAAAGAAGCCUGAAAUAAGCUGUGUUGACGAAGGUAUCGACCUGAUAAAACAACAAUUUCGACAUAGAAAGAUACUUGUCAUCGUGGACAACAUAGAUAAAGAGGAACAACUGAAUGCAAUAGUUGGAAGUCAUGAUUGGUUUGGUCCUGGAAGUAGAAUUAUCAUAACCACACGAGUUGAACGUCUACUGCAAGACCGAAUCAGUAAUCUGCAAGACCGAAUCAGUAAUUUACCUCACGAAAUUCUUGUCCUUAUAGUGUCACUCUUGCCGCUAAAGGAAGCCGCAGCCACUAGUAUCCUUUCUAGGCCAUGGCGCCAUGUCUGGGCAUUUACUACGACUCUCAGUUUUGACGCUGUUAACUUUGAAGUAGGUGAUACUUUGCACCGGUUCUUGGAUCUUGAAGAACAAGUGAGAGACCGGGAAAGCCGCCUCUACGUGAAUUGGGUCGAUCACGUUCUGGACCAACAUAGAGGCCAAUGCAUUGACCGCUUCCGGGUUUGCUUUUUUCUGCAGCGCGACUUUGCAGGUUCCAUUGACAAAUGGAUCCAAUUUGCAAUGGAAAAGAGGGUUCAAAUACUUGAGCUGGAGCUUUUGACAGACUCAAUUGUUUUCCUUGAUGAUAACUACACAUUUCCCCACAAACUACUAUUGGGUCCGGAAGAGCAAAAGGGCCUGUUUUCUAACCUUCCAAGCCUACACCCUGGUGGAUACAGUAUUGCGCCUUUCGAGUCCCUCAGAGUCGUACGCUUUCAACAUGUUGGUGUGACCGGUGAAACUCUUGAGUUCUUGCUGUCCAACUGUCCAGUUCUCGAACGUUUGUCGCUGAGUUUUGCCAAAGAUUUAGUCAAGCUAAGAGUUACCGGCACCUCCAUGGCAUUGAAAUAUUUAGAGGUGAAGUAUUGCCUUGAACUCAGCAUCAUUGAGAUAUCUGGUGCAAACAUUGUCUCCUUUAUUUAUUGUGGACAGUUAAUAGAUUUGCGAUUGAAUAAUGUGCCCCUGCUGGUUGAGGUAUCCAUUUACAAGUGGGGCACUUUUGCUGAAUUCGUAAGGCUUGCGUUAAGUCAACUCUCAUGCUGUCUUUCUCAUUUAGAGACCCUGAAGCUGGAUAUCAGGGGAGCGGUUAGCAUACUUAUCCCAUGUUAUUUGGUUGAGAUCAAGUAUUGUCGUGUCCCUAACUCAGUUGUUGUUGGCUUUCAGGUCUACAAUCAGAAUCAUGCGUUUCCCGCGUUAUCAAAUCUCAAGCAUUUGGAAUUAUUAGUGGAUGCCGACUACUCUCUGUCUCUUGGUCGCUUAGCUUCUUUCAUGGAGGCAGCUCCUUACUUGCUCAAUCUUGUUUUGGGGGUAUGUAUGUAUUGUAUGCCUUUGUUAUUGAUAGGUUACCAAUGUAAAAGUUGAUAUAUGUAUGAAUAUGUUUUUGUGCGUCCAUAUGCUCUAGUCUCUCUGUUGCCUGUAUUCUUGAAGAAACAAAAUAAUAAAUAACGGGGUUUGUUUUGAAUCUGGUUUUGUUUGCUUUCCUUGUUGCAGUUGGGUUUCAGUACGUCCAAUGAGGACAUGGAAAUACCAGAGAAAGUUUCCAAACAACCCCAUCACUUCCUCAAGCUAGUAGAAAUAGCAGGGUAUCGGGGCCACGAGUGCUGCGUAGAGCAUGUCAGAUACUUGGUGGAGAAUGCUGUUGCACUGGAGAAGAUUAUUAUAAAUCCUGUUCGGUUUUGGUGUCGGCCGACGGGAAUUGAGAGCAAUGCCCUACUGGAGAAUGAGGAAGAGAAUGCAAGAGAUCAUGCUAUCCAACACCUCAAGAAAAAAGUACCUUCUAGUGUAGAAUUUGUGUGCCUGUAGGAGUGCAGCGCCGCAGUGCUUCAAAAAAAUUAACGUCUACAGUGCUUUUAAAAAAAAGUAUAUGUAUUGCGUAUGUUCUUAGAUUUUCUUUGCUUUUUCUCUUCUAUGUGAUUUCUUAUUCGUUUCGUAUCAGUAAUGGUAAUUUGUACGUCAUACUCGUAUUCUUGCUGUAUAUACUACAUCACAAGGGGCAUUUAAGUACUUGAAAAACACAGGUUUUAUGCAUUGCUGCUCCGUCUUUCUGCCCUUCAUAUAGGAGGAAUUUUACACGGGAACAAUUUUUCUUGUUUUUGUUUUUAUUGACGGUGGCAAGUUGUGGGUUGAACGCGAAAUACAUGUUGGAUUUUGCAAAUUGUUAUAUACAAAAUAUUUUCACACUUAUUUGUCGUUAAGAAUCGUGUAAGGUAGAAAUCAUAACAUAGCCAUGAUCAACACCGCAUUCAACGCAAUUAAGAGAAAAACUAAUGAAUGUAUCCGAUUUAACACGAGAUUGGAAUUCAUGAUUAGACUAAAAAUUGCUAACAAAAUGUCUUGUUUCCAAGUGUUGAACACACUAAUUUAUAUUUUCAUUUUCAUCACAGACAAAUACUUUGCUUGUAAUCUCCUUAAUACCAUCUCCUCCCUCUGCUGCAAAAGGUACCUCUCUUCUGUAAUCGUGUCCCCAGAAGGUGCCAUCCAACGCAAAGAGCGACACAUGUCAGUUCUUGCGGCAUCCAGUCGCCAGGGAUGCUUGUAUCAAUUGUGGCUUUGACAGUAGCUUGGCGAACCCAUGUAAGGCGACGCUGGGGAGGGCUGUUGAUAUAUUUUAACUUGUGGCAAUCUCUCAGGUUCAAACCUCUAGGGGGAAUAUCCUAAGACGCGUAUGUAAUAGAUUCAAGAUUCCUAGUGUUAAAAACCAUAACAAAAUGAGCCUUACAGUGUAUAAGUUGCAAGGAUUUGAGACUGGAACUUGAAACACGCAAGCAGCAAUUUAUUACUUCGGGGGAUUCGAAAGAACAUGAAGUUAAUGACAAACACUCGAUGGAAGGGCAACCACGAGUUAAGCAGAGGACUGUGCUACUUCUUUUGAAGAUAACAGCUUUCAGGGACUGUUUUCAAGGAGAGAAAAAUCGGAUCCCAAAUUCCCAACAUACGUCUAAUCUCACAUACUCCAAGUUUAGACUAGUUAAAAGUUUUGCAUUGAAAAGGAUUUGGCUAGGCAUACGUAGUAUCCGGUUCGUUGCAUCAUCGUCGUUGUCAUCAUCAUCAUCAUCUAAUCUUGUUGAGGCCCAAGACUGACAUCUAACGUUUUAACGUUUCUCUCCACCGCAACACUCAACCACUUGUGUCCACGCUAGUAUCCUCUAUUAACUUAAGAGCCGUACGAUGACAUCUCUCUCUUUCAGCACACAACUCAUCCAAACGUUUCAAACACCUUUCCAAGAAGUUAAUGAACAAUUCUGCACGUCGAACGAGUUCGUCUUCCUCAUGAAGAUCACUGCACGAGUGGUCUAAGCCCUCAUCGUCGAAUCUAACACGGGGACUUCCAAAUGUUGGAGUAUGUGGCCAAGUGGCCAACUUUUGGCUAUAAGCAAUUCAAAAGAAAAAAAAACAACAUGAUGAUGUUUCUUCCUUGUUUUGGGGAAAAGAAAAGCACACUUUGUCUAAAGUUUUUCUUUGGUCCAUGUGAGAAGUCACGGGAGUCCUAGGGUUUUUAACUAGCAGCAAUAGCUGCCUUUUGUUGUGGGAGAAAGGCUGUCACAUAGAAGAAGAAAAGAGAAGGGAGUAGCAGAAAGUAGGAUAGUGCACCAUUUUAUGUUUUAGUAGCCCAUCUUUGUGAGAGGAAAAGAAGCUGCAGAGAGCAGAAAACUAAGAGUAGAAAGAGAAGAAAGAAAGGUGAUUUUCUUUUUUUGUAGGUACUCACUCAAUCAAAGUUGUAUUUGUGUAUUAGCUUUGAGCUUUGUAUAUAGAGGAAAUUAUUCACUAUAUUUCCCUCUCUAUUUGUUUCUUUGGUGAGUGAGAGCUAUUGGGUGUAUUGGGUUAUUUGGGUUGUGAGAUUGCCAACACUUUGUAAACUCCCAUUUGGUUGAUAGUGGAUUAUUGGGUGAGCUCCUACUGCUCCGAGGACGUACUCCAGUUACACUGACUGUUGAGGAACCUCGUUAAAAUCUUGGUGUUCUUUAAUAUUUUGUUCUUGCAUUUCAUUUGGUAAAUUUCCUGUGGGUUAGCUUGAGUUGGUUCCAACGGGUUUGGUGCUAUCCUAGCACAACAAUUGGUAUCAGAGCACUGGUUGCUCUUGGGUACUAUCUAGUUGCCAAAGAUGUCAGACGGGCAAGAUGAGAAUCCUUUUGGAAGUAGCUCCGGGUUUGCAAGAACUACGGUGCAAAAUGCAAAGUUCGAAGUGGAAAAGUUUGAUGGCACAAACAACUUCGGGAUGUGGCAAUGUGAGGUCAAAGAUGUGUUGGCUCAACAAGAUCUAAUUGCCGCUUUGGGAGAGAAGCCGGAAACUAUGUCGAAGCCGGAAUGAGAGAAAUUAAAUUUGUGGGCUUGCUCUUCAAUUCGGUUGUGCCUUGCAAAAACUCAGAAGUAUUUUGUGAUGCGGGUGACAUUAGCAAGUGUGUUGUGGCAAAAAUUGGAAGACAAGUAUAUGACGAAGAGUGCAGAGAACCGGCUACACUUGAAGAAAAAGCUCUACCGCUUCCAAUACAAAGAAGGUACAAAAAUGAUUAGACACCUUGAUGCUUUUAAUAAGUUGAUUGCCGACUUAUUAAAUUUAGAUGAGGAUAUUAAGGAUGAAGAUAAGGCCUUAAUAUUGUUGAAUUCCUUGCCGGACUCUUAUGAGCAUUUUGUUACCACUAUUAUGCAUGGUAAAGAAACUGUGAAAUUUGAAGAUGUGUCAAAUGCCUUGAUGAAUUAUGAAAUGAGGAGAUAAAAACCAUGAUAGUACCUCUGAAGCUUUAUUUGUUAGAGGUAGAUCAUCGGAGAGAAGAUCAUCUUCUAGUAGGAAAAAAUCACAGUCUCGACCUAGAGGAAACUCUAAAGGUAGAAAACCUUUGGAAAGGGAUGAAUGUGCCUUUUGUCGUAAUAAGGGCCAUUGGAAGAAAGAUUGUCCUAAAUUGAAGACCAAAGGCAAAGAAAGUUCUGAAGCUAAUGUUGCUGAGGUUGAAACAGAUUUUUCUGAUUUUGCUUUAACCACUUCCUCAUCAUUUGAUUGUGCUACUAAGUGGGUGUUGGAUACGGGUUGUACUCAUCAUAUGACUUCUCACAAGGAUUGGUUUUCAAGCUUGAAAGAGUUUGAUGGUGGCGUUGUGUUCAUGGGAGAUGACAAUCCUUGCACAACAAAAGGGAUUGGUACAGUUCGUUUGAAGUUGCAUGAUGCAUGGUUAAAGAGUUGACAGGUGUUCGGUAUGUACCGAAUUUGAAGAAAAUCUUAUUUCUUUGGGUACUUUGGAAUCCAAGGGUUUCAGGUUUCAUUCAGAUGGACAUACAUUGAAAGUUACUUAUGGUGCACUUGUUGUGAUGAAAGCUCAUAGAUGUGGCCAUUUGUAUUUAUUGCAGGGAAGCACUGUGACAGGUGAAGCAUCUGUAGUCUCUGAAAAUAUGGGCACAUCUGAUUCAAAUACUACUAGAUUGUGGCAUAUGAGAUUAGGCCAUGCCGGUGAGAAAGCUCUCUACAAGGGCUUGUGAAAACAGGUCUUUUAAAAGGUGCCACGACUUGUAAACUUGAUUUCUGCGAGCAUUGUGUCUUGGGGAAGCAAACUAGAGUGAAGUUUGGUACUGAUGUACAUCAGACGAAGGGCAUUCUUGAUUAUGUGCAUUCGGAUGUUUGGGGUCCUACAAAGACUCCCUCUUUGAGUGGUAGACAUUGGUUCGUGACCUUUGUUGAUGAUUAUUCAAGAAGGUCUUGGGUCUACAACUAUAUGAAGCACAAGAGUGAGGUGUUAAGCAUUUUCUUGGGAUGAAAGAAAAUGGUUGAGAACCAGACUGGGAGAAAGAUUAAGAUUUUGAGAUCGGAUAAUGGUGGUGAAUACACAUCCGACCCUUUCUUUAAAGUUUGCAAAGAGGAAGGAAUUGUGAGACAUUUUAGUGUUCGGGGAACUCCACAACAAAAUGGAGUUGCAGAAAGAUUGAAUCGAACCUUGCUUGAGAAGGUUAGAUGUAUGUUGUCUCAGUCGGGUUUAAGCAAGUCAUUUUGGGUAGAGGCAGUUAAUUAUGCAUGUCACAUCAUCAACCGAUUACCCUCAGCUGCUAUUCAGGGUAAGACACCAAUGGAGGUAUGGACUGGAAAACCUUCUUCUGAUUAUGACUAUAUCCGUAUUUUUGGUUCACCUGCUUAUUUUCAUGUGACUGAAAAUAAACUUGAUCCUAGAGCCAAAAAGGCUAUCUUUCUUGGUUUUAGUAGUGGUGUCAAAGGUUACAGGUUGUGGUGCCUAGAGAUGAAGAAACUUGUAAUCAGUAGAGAUGUGACAUUUGAUGAAGAAAGUAUGUUCAAUGACUCUGAGAAGAAUGUGAAAGAUGUCCAACAGGUGGAGCUUGAGAAAGUUGCCUCUGGUACUUCAAAUCCUAUUUCCGCUGAUGUCGAUGCCACUACAAGUGAAGAAGUUGGAGACCAUGAGGAUGUUGAAGAAGUUGAACUUGAAGAUUCUAUUCAAGUUGAAGAGGAAGUUUCACCUCAAGAGUCUAUUGCCAAGAACAGAGGAAAGAGACAAAUUACCAAGCCAGCUCGGUAUAGUGACUAUGUUUCUUUUACUCUUCCUAUUAUCACUGAUGAAAUUCCAUCUAAUUUCGAGGAAGCCAUUGAGAGUGAGGAGGGAGAGGUGGUGCAAUGCCAUGGGUGAUGAGAUGAAUUCUCUCUUGAAGAACAAGACUUGGGAGUUAGCUAAAUUGCCUAAGGGCAAGAAAGCUAUCGGUUGCAAAUGGGUGUAUGCCAAGAAGGAAGAUGCUGAUGAGAAAAGCAAUGUGAGAUUCAAAGCAAGAUUAGUUGCUAAAGGGUAUGCACAAAAGGAGGGCAUUGACUACAAUGAAAUAUUUUCUCUGGUUGUGAAGCACUCCUCAAUUCGUAUUAUGUUAGCUUUUGUUGCACAAUAUGAUCUUGAGCUUGUGCAACUUGAUGUGAAGACGGCUUUCCUACAUGGUGAUUUGAAUGAAGAGAUUUAUAUGUGUCAACCGGAUGGGUAUAUAGUGAAAGGGAAGGAGAACUUGUUUUGCAAAUUGAAGAAAUCACUAUAUGGCUUGAAGCAAUCUCCAAGACAAUGGUAUUUGAGGUUUAAUAAAUUUAUGAGAGGCCAAAAUUAUUCUAGAAGUCAAUAUGAUCAUUGUGUGUACUUCAAGAAGUUGCAAGAUGGGUCUUUCAUUUAUUUGUUGAUAUAUGUUGAUGAUAUGUUGAUUGCCUCAAAGAAUUUUGAAGAGAUUGAAAAAUUAAAGAAGCAAAUGAAGAAUGAGUUUGAGAUGAAGGAUCUUGGUGAAGCGAAGAAGAUCCUUGGCAUGGAAAUCACUAGAGAUAGAGAGAAGGGUUUGGUCAGUUUGAAUCAAAGACAAUACCUUGAGAAGUUGAUUCGGAAGUUUGGAGUUCAUGAUUCAACUAAACCGGUUAGUACCCCUUUGGCUCCUCAUUUAAAAUUGAGUUCUCUACAAUGUCCUAAAAAUGAUAAAGAGAAGCUGCAAAUGAAAAAUAUACCAUAUGCAAAUUUGGUUGGUAGUUUGAUGUAUGCAAUGGUAUGCUCUAGACCGGAUAUUGCUCAUGCAGUUGGCAUGGUGAGUCGAUAUAUGCAUAAUCCAGGUAAAGAGCAUUGGCAAGCAGCUAAGUGGAUAUUGAGGUAUCUCCAUGGUACUCGAGAUGUUGGUUUAUGCUUUGAGAGAGAUGACUCUGGUAUUGGUCAUUUUGCAGUUGGUUAUGUUGAUUCAGAUUAUGCAGGUGAUCUGGAUGGAAGGAAGUCUACUACAGGCUAUGUGUUUACUAUGGCUAAAGGGCCAGUUUGUUGGAUGUCCAUUUUGCAGUCGUCUGUUGCCUUGUCUACUACAGAGGCUGAAUAUAUGGCAGUUGCUGAAGCUAUAAAGGAGGCCAUUUGGAUACAUGGGCUGAUUAGAGAUUUGGGGGUUGAUCAGAAACAGGUGGAGGUACAUUGUGAUAGUCAGAGUGCCAUUUAUUUGGCUAAGUAUCAUGUUCAUCAUGCGAGGACCAAGCACAUAGAUGUGCGUUAUCACUUUGUUCGUGAAGUUGUUGGUGAAAGGGAAAUCAUUCUCCAGAAGAUUCCAACUAAAGACAACCCCGCUGAUAUGUUGACUAAGGUUGUUGGUGUAGCCAAGUUUGUUCAUUGCUUGAACUUGGCUCACAUUUUGCCUAUAUAAAGAAGGCGUUGAGCAAUAGGAGUUUUGGAGCAUUUAGCUAUGCAUGAGUUGUUCUCUUGCUAGUGUUUGGGAGUGUUUUUGUGUUGGUUGGCUUAUCACGGUGAUUUCGGAACUUGGCCAAGGUGGAGAUUGUUGGAGUAUGUGGCCAAGUGGCCAACUUUUGGCUAUAAACAAUUCAAAAGAAAAAAAGACAACAUGAUGAUGUUUCUUCCUUGUUUUGGGGAAAAGAAAAGCACACUUUGUCUAAAGUUUUUCUUUGGUCCAUGUGAGAAGUCACUGGAGUCCUAGGGUUUUUAACUAGCAGCAAUAGCUGCCUUUUGUUGUGGGAGAAAGGCUGUCACAUAGAAGAAGAAAAGAGAAGGGAGUAGCAGAAAGUAGGAUAGUGCACCAUUUUCUGUUUUAGUAGCCCAUCUUUGUGAAAGGAAAAGAAGCUGCAGAGAGCAGAAAACUAAGAGUAGAAAGAGAAGAAAGAAAGGUGAUUUUCUUUCUUUGUAGGUACUCACUCAAUCAAAGUUGUAUUUGUGUAUUAGCUUUGAGCUUUGUAUAGAGAGGAAAUUAUUCACUAUAUUUCCCUCUCUAUUUGUUUCUUUGGUGAGUGAGAGCUAUUGGGUGUAUUGGGUUAUUUGGGUUGUGAGAUUGCCAACACUUUGUAAACUCCCAUUUGAUUGAUAGUGGAUUAUUGGGUGAGCUCCUACUGCUCCGAUGACGUACUCCAGUUACACUGACUGUUGAGGAACCUCGUUAAAAUCUUGGUGUUCUUUAAUAUUUUGUUCUUGCAUUUCAUUUGGUAAAUUUCCUGUGGGUUAGCUUGAGUUGGUUCCAAUGGGUUUGGUGCUAUCCUAGCACAACACCAAAGACCACAAGUAUGCCCACUGCUUGGACACAAGGCUCGCGCUUAUGGCGAGUUUUGAGCUGGAAGGUUUUAUGGAUGGCUAGGACGGUCAAGUGAGGUUGUAGUAGUGGUGGUGGUGAUGUGUCCACAAGCAUCCGACGAUGGGUCUGUAAAGAAGCACUUUGCGGCUGGAACGAUGUGUAGGGGGUUCUUUUGAUACAAUGUCGAAUCUUCUUAAUUACGAGAGAACAUUCUUUUUAUGUAGCUACGAUGUGCUAGUGUAUUGGUGCUUCGAGUGUUAGUGUUGUACUGGAGUAUAAUGUACCAUUCCGAUGAUAUGUAAUGUACUACUCUGUCGAUUUGAAAAAAAAACUUGUACGCACACCUAUUGAAGAAAAAUUUGAGUCAAUUGUAACAAAACUCAAGGUUGAAACUUUGUCGAACUAAGGUCGGAACUUUGUUCGAACGAUUACAUAGGACAAGUAGAAAGAACGAGAAUUCACAUGUAAGUGAGGAAAGAAAAAAUUAAAAACCAAAACAAAAAGAAGAAAGAAUUGACAUAUUUGGAGAUUGCGACGUCAAUUAAAGAGCCAAUUCUCAGAGAGGAAGCACCGGAGGCUGGUGGUGGCGGUGGAGCGGAAGCAGGAGAGAGUAGGGAAAUCCGACGGUGAGAUUGACCUUUUGGCCCCGCUCGUAGUUAUCACCAACGGAAGAGAUGAAGUAGCUUAUAAAAAUUAAUUAAUAAAUGAACAUUUAUUGUAAUAUAGCUUAUUUUAUAAUUAAAAUAGAGGAUUAGACGAUAUUAAUUUCUUGGAAACGACUGCUAAGCUUAAGCGACGAAGGAAAUUACUGCUACAAGUGUGGGGAUGAGCCCAACGAAAGUACGAAGAGUAGUGGUAGUGAGAGAUGAAGCGUGGGAGGAUGGUGGUGGAGGAGCUAACAGAGAAGAGGUGGUGGUUGGUGAUCCAACGGUGAUGCUGACCUUUUGGCCUUGCUCGCGGUGGUCACCAACGGUGCAGAUGAAGAAGCGGGAACUGGUAGAAUUGAGUACCGUCCUUACUCCUGGUCCCAGUACGAUCCCAGGGUCACUACUGCAGCUAUCAUAUUCUUCGUUUGUUGCUAUUUCCCCCACAUUAUGGUCCCACGUUUCAGUCCAAUUGAACACUGCAAUGCCAAAAAAUCACAACAAUAAGUUAACAACAAAGAUAUAUAAAUACUCAUAUGAACUUGGACACAAGAGCCAGGAAUAAUUAAUGCCCCGGUUCGGUUACCUGACCUAACUUCCGUCUAGUUGUUACUGGAAAUUGGAAAGCGCACUUACCGACUUUAUCUCCUAUUUGGAAUGUCUUUGAGGCAGCGCAGUCGGAGUAAACGGAGGUGUAUAAGGGCAAGCCACCGCCAUACUCACCAAGCAAGCCAUCAUCAUAUUAAUAUCUCUGCGACUGCCCAUAUCCUUACGCAUGGUGAAUAUUUUGAUCGGCGUACGUGUUUUUCGGCGAUCUGCAAGUACUUUUUCUUGGAUCGACGUACGUGUUUUUCCUUUUUCGUUUAUAAAUAUGCAUGCGUACGAUUUAUGAAAUCAAUUUUCUAAUAAAUUAAGCAUAUAUGUUGUAUGUGUGGCGGGAAAACCUUGAAAACUUUGAACAAGUUGAAUAUAACCCUGCAUUGCCUGGUGAUUUUGAUGCACUCUAAAAGAAAAAAGAAGAAAGAAAUCACCAAGUUUUACCAGUUCCAUCGUCCCAGAGUCAAAGACUUACGGGUUCAUUGAGGGAUGCCGUUGCACUCCCACACACGACCUGGUCUAUGAAUCUACGAUUUCUUCUCUUUAACUUCUAGUUUUCAAAGAACUAGUAUCUUUACUCUUUCGCAACUCUACAUGCUUGCUAUACUUUAAAGUAUAAACGCGUUGUUUAUUCAUAUUAUAACACAUAACUCUAGCCUCAACAACACUCAACCGAAAAAUUAUCUAGUAGGGAAGGAAUAAAAAAGAAACCAAAUUACACGUGUGAAAGAUGUCUUUUUGCCCUUGAUCUUGUCCUUGCCCUCCUAAAACGGAUGGACUUGCUCUAAGCUGCCAUUUGUAUUCAGACAUGCCCUGGUCUAAAAAGACUCUAAUUAAGCUGACUGCAGUCGUUUGAGUUCAAGUGAGGUAUGCAAAGGAUAAUGUUUUCAACUUCAAAAGUUUACUUAACCCUCGUCACAAACGGGUGCCAAAUCCGUGGCUAUAAGUAUCAUAUUUUGGCUUUCUCCUUCUGCACAAAUAUUCAAAUAUCCAAAUCACACCCUGAUUAGUACCGUGCCAACUGGAUCACAUUGACGUGAAGCUGGCCAACAUGGCCAGAAGCUAGUCAGUAGCGUUAUCGCCGGAACUAAACCUAUCGAUCCUAGUCCGACUCUAUCCCCACCAGCACCGCCGCCGCCAAACUCCACUUACCAGCUCUAACACCUGUUGCCACCGCUUGUUCUAUUUGUUAUCUCCACCAUAGUCAUGUCUUUCUUCUUGUACUUACAUCUAAAUAUUAACUCUAUAACGUGUAUAUUAUUAUUUUUAUAUCAGUAAUGCUAAUUGAUCACAUCUAUAUCGAAUAUGAUAAUGCUUGUGUCCUUUACAUGGGGGACUUACUUGUUCCACCAAUUACGAUUAACGAACUUUUACCAUAUGAACAUCAUAAUCAAAAUCAUUUAUUAUCUUUAUCAUUAUCUAAAGAUUAUAUGUGCAAAAAAAAAAAAACAUUCAAUUUGAGAUGUUUUAGCCAUUCACAUGUAUAAAACAAAUGGACGUUUUAUCAUAAGGAUGUUGCUUGUUACCAAAACCGUUGAUUGGCAUAAUCGUAAGUAAGGGGACACAAGCAUUAUCCUAUAAAAUAUAUGACCGCUUUUGUUAGAAGGUGAUCAACCAUAACAUAUGGUGAUGUGUGAUUAAUUUAAAAUAUUAUCACUCUAGCUGUUCUAAUUUCAUGUAAAUUCUUCUCUUAUUAGAGAAAUGAUACAUAAUGUAGAACAAGGAACACCAUUCUAUAUAUUAAUUUAUCAAAAGUUUUGUUAAGAAGGUUCUAUCGAUCAUACAAUAAAAGCGUUAAUCAUACCGCAAGGAACAAAAUUAUUUAAACUUAUACUGAUUGACCAGGCCCAGCUCAAUUGACAAAGCUAGGCUUAAUUUUGCACAUUUGGGGGCCUUAUAUUCCACAUCGCAAUUUGAUAUGUAAUAGUACAUUUUGUGGAAAUGUGAGACCAAAUUAUGCAACGUUUAUAAAAAGUUGGGUUAUUUUUUUUUAUCAAUUUUUUUUAUUGUGGAAUUUCAAUUUUCUUUAUGGUAUCAGAGCAGGUCGGCUCACCUGUGAUGUACAUUGGCCAUACGUGCUUCACGUCCUCCAAUUUAUGUUUUUCAUGUGUUAGACUUGAAAAUUCGCCACACGUGGGAGCGUGCGAGAAUGUGAGAACAAAGUCCUACAUCGGUGACGGACCAAAACCAUGCAAGGGAAUUGAACUACUUUUCAUAUUGUCAAUUAUUUUUAAGAUGAAACCUCAGCUUUCUUCGCAUUCAACAUUUCCAAAAGAAAAGAAUAUCAAUAAACAUAAUCUGCAGAAACAGCAUAACAUGAAUUGUAAAUGAAGUAAGUACAUUUAGUUAAUGCUAAGGAAGGAGAUGACUAGUGCAGUGCAGAGGAUUAGGGCAACAAUAUUAAGGCUGAGAGAAGAAGCGCCGUUCCAUUCCCACCAAUGAUCAUCAUCAUCGUUAUCUCCUGAUGAAGAAUAAUCUCCUCCAAUUCUGAUAGUCACCUUCUGCCCUAAUCUACUGCAGUGACUAUCUUCCGUGCAUAUGAAGUAACGGGUCAAGUUGGACGUCAGUACAAUUCUUGUAGGGCUGGAAUCAUAGAAACCAAGAGGGUUGUCCUUUGAGCAGCUAUCGUAAUCAGCCUGUGUUACUUCAGCUACUCUGUGUUCCCCGCUCCAUUUGAAUUCUGCAAAAUGAUUGAGAGAUAAAGUUAAGCUGAUGUUCAUCAAUAAGAAAGGAUAAACUCUCUUUGAAGGAAGAGAUGAUGCGCUGUGAACACCUCACUUAUACUCAAAUUUCUUCGUUUUUAAAUCUCACUAAUGGACAUUGUUGACUAUUAGGGUAACAAGUGGUCCUCUAGAACUUCGAUUUUAAGUCCUAACUAACAAUUUUGGUCUACUUAAAACCUAAAUCAAAGUGAUUAUUAACCAAUUCGAGACUAAAAUUUCUAGUCUCAAAUGAUGAUUUUACACCCUAAAACUUCAACCAUGUUAACAAAUGGGAUAAAAGUUGAAGACAAAUGAGUAUAAAUAGGAUUUUCUCAAUAUGUAAUGUUUUUAAAGACAUGACGUCAUGCACAAAGACGGACUGAAUAAAAGGCCAAUUUGAAUGAUGAUUUAGAGGUAAGAAAGUCGGUUGUGAACUAAUUAACUUACGACUUACCUAUUGUAUCACCAAUCUGAAAUCUCUUUGCGUUAGCCCAGGUGGAAUAGGCAACAGAGCCAGCUGGAGGAAUAGUCCAGCCUAAAUCAUCCCCAACUUUGUAGGUUUCAGCUGUGGCACCCUUCCACAAGGCCACUACAACAAGAAGCAAACAACCGAUCAAUCCCUUCUGACUCACCAUUUACUCAAUCUCUUCUUUCUCUUUGGAAGUGUUUUGGUGUAUGAAUCAGUUAUUAAUGUCGACUACUUA